rnacentral:rRNA from 1 species
AGUGAACGCUGGCGGUAGGCCUAACACAUGCAAGUCGAACGGCAGCACAGUAAGAGCUUGCUCUUACGGGUGGCGAGUGGCGGACGGGUGAGGAAUACAUCGGAAUCUACUUUUUCGUGGGGGAUAACGUAGGGAAACUUACGCUAAUACCGCAUACGACCUACGGGUGAAAGCAGGGGAUCUUCGGACCUUGCGCGAUUGAAUGAGCCGAUGUCGGAUUAGCUAGUUGGCGGGGUAAAGGCCCACCAAGGCGACGAUCCGUAGCUGGUCUGAGAGGAUGAUCAGCCACACUGGAACUGAGACACGGUCCAGACUCCUACGGGCGGCAGCAGUGGGGAAUAUUGGACAAUGGGCGCAAGCCUGAUCCAGCCAUACCGCGUGGGUGGAAGGCCUUCGGGUUGUAAAGCCCUUUUGUUGGGAAAGAAAAGCAGCAGGUUAAUACCCCGCUGUUCUGACGGUACCCAAAGAAUAAGCACCGGCUAACUUCGUG